CUAGCUUCUCCUUCCGGUCCAUUGGGUGAUGUGAGAAAGUACUUUUUGGCUUCUUUUUGGAUACGUUCUUUCUUUUCAGAGGUGAAAAGGGUUAAAAGGAGCUGUUGGCAAUCAUCUUAGGUGGGCGGGUGAGUCCGGAGUACAGACUCUGUCAGAGAGGUCAAAGCCUGGGGCUUUUCAGAGAAGGGAGGAUUAUGGGUUUUCUAAUUAUAUAAGUCAGAAGUAGAAAAAGGGACACAAACUAAGAAGGGUGCUCAGCGCUCGUCAUCUGGAGGGACUUGUGCCUCUCUCAGUGGUAGUAGAGGGGCUACUUCUUCCUGCCACGGUCAUGAUUGAGAGACAAUGGGUGGUGAGCCUACAGGGGGACGUCGUCGAGGAGACAUGGGAUAACUUUAAGGGAGAAGGGUUUAAGGUGUGAGAGCAGAGCCAAGUCCUGGAGACGGUAACCUUGCUGUCGCACCGGAAAACGAGAUGUGCGGGAAACUCCUGGAGAGCAGAGCUGUGUCUGCCAUCUUCAUCAUUGCAUUACCACCACCCAGCACAGUGCCUGGCACAAAAGAGUUGCUCAAUAAAUAAAUCAGGAUGAAUGGAUAAAUACACGGAUAGGCACUUUGAACUACAGAUGAGCUUAAAUACAUUGUGUUUUUCUUAGGCAAACAUGUGCAAUUAAGCAUGUGAUAAAUGUUAUGAUGACCACACCUGUGUCUUGCCUGAUGUUCUUUGCAAUCACUAAAUGAAGUCAAUUGUGCCUGUUUUGACAGUUCUGUUUUCAACCUAAUGAUCUGUUUCUUUUAACUUCUGGCUGUUGGCUUUGUUUGUGUUUGUUAGCCUGACAAAGUGGCAGAUAUUGGUAUUUGCUCUUUUGUUU